AUUGAACGCUGGCGGCAGGCUUAACACAUGCAAGUCGAGCGGGGUGAUGGUGCUUGCACUAUCACUUAGCGGCGGACGGGUGAGUAAUGCUUAGGAAUCUGCCUAUUAGUGGGGGACAACAUCUCGAAAGGGAUGCUAAUACCGCAUACGUCCUACGGGAGAAAGCAGGGGAUCACUCGUGACCUUGCGCUAAUAGAUGAGCCUAUGUCGGAUUAGCUAGUUGGUGGGGUAAAGGCCUACCAAGGCGACGAUCUGUAGCGGGUCUGAGAGGAUGAUCCGCCACACUGGGACUGAGACACGGCCCAGACUCCUACGGGAGGCAGCAGUGGGGAAUAUUGGACAAUGGGGGGAACCCUGAUCCAGCCAUGCCGCGUGCGUGAAGAAGGCCUUAUGGUUGUAAAGCACUUUAAGCGAGGAGGAGGCUCUUUUGGUUAAUAUCCAAGAUGAGUGGACGUUACUCGCAGAAUAAGCACCGGCUAACUCUGUGCCAGCCGCCGCAGUAA
rnacentral:rRNA from 1 species